CCUGAAGCGGCGGCCAGAGAAGAGACAAGGGUACGAGCAUCGGAUCGCCAUGCCUUUCUUGGACAUCCAGAAAAGGUUCGGCCUUAACAUAGAUCGAUGGUGGACAAUCUAGAGUGCUGAACAGCCCUACAAGAUUGCUACUCGAUGCCAUGCUUUUGAAAAAGAAUGGAUAGAAUGUGCACAUGGAAUUGGUGCUAUCCGGGCAGAGAAAGAGUGCAAGAUAGAAUAUGAUGAUUUUGUAGAGUGUUUGCUUCGGCAGAAAACGAUGAGACGUGCGUGUGCCAUCAGGAGGCAGCGGGAUAAGCUGAUAAAGGAAGGGAAGUACACCCCUCCACCUCACCACAUUGGCAAGGAGGAGCCUCGGCCCUGAGCAGAGCAGCUGGUGAUGUCUGGAGGCUGAUUUUCCCGUUCUCUGUUCUCCACUGGAAAGGUUGUUUACGGAAAACCUCCUUGUCAAAGUGUGUAAAAAUAAAGGAUUGCUCCAUCCUA